rnacentral:lncRNA from 1 species
AUCACCUUUCAGUGUCUGCUCUGCUGGCUCAUGCAGUGUAGGUUGGCUUACCUCUCCCUGGAAGUCACAUUGUCCUUCAGAACUCUUUUUACUAUGACCCACAAACAGUUUUCAGACCUCACUCUGAUGAGUCAAAGGUAAAGCUGUGAAUAAACAGAUGGUGAAACAACAUUUGCAGUUCUCUGACUUCAGUCCUCCCUGAAACCCACUUGGAAUCUAGCUCUGAAUUCAGCCGGACAUGUUUGUUCUUCCCUUUUCCCAUCCUCACCUACUCCUAACCUUCAGUGUUCUCUUUACCUUUUAUUUUUAUUUUUGUCAUUUUAGUAGUAAAUGACAGGGACAUAGUUACUCAAUUUGUAAAACAUUGAAUGGUGAGGUCAAAGAUUCUAUGACGAGCUUGAGAUUUCUAACAGGUUCAGAUGGAUGACAGCAACAUUUUGCUGGCUUAAUUUUGGAGCUGUUUUUGUAGGUUUUGAAAUGCAGUUUAAUAGUGAGUAAUAGAGAAGUUUCUUUCUGCCGUGGAGCUACUGAACCCUUGAAAGUAACAUGCUGGCACAUACAGAUGAACUGUAGCCCCACAUUUAUUCCUUGCUUAGUGGUAAGCUGUACACUGAACAAUAGAAAACAAAAGGCUAUUUUUCUUUGGAAGAGCAGAUACUGAUUUCUGGACAAAGUUUAUGUUGUACAAGUUAAACAUUUUUUAUUCUUUUCUGGUUAGAUUUUCUGCCUUUUAAAAAAUUAGCUUAGUUGAAAAAGCAGGUAUUAUUAAAUACAGUUUAUUUUAUUGAAUUGGACGGACAAUCGUAGAAUUUUAAAGCUUAAAUGGCUUUAAUUGAACCUAAUGUUCUAAUUUUACAGAGGAAACAUUUGAGGCUUAGUGCGGUUAAAUGACCACUCCUACAACACACAGCCUGUUUGUUUGAUGGCUGAGGCUGAAAACCAGACUCCAGACUCCUAAUUUAAUGCUUUUCCUUCAUUGGUCAUGUCUUUUUAGCUUCAGUGAAGAUCUUUUUUUUUUUUUUUUUUUUAAUUUUUGAGGUUAUUUAAAAAAUACUUUGCCUUGAAAAUUUAACAUUUCCACUUAAUCAUUCUCAUACUUCAAGAACAGUUUCUCUGUUAACUUUCUGUUUAACUUCUUAAACCAUACACUGUGGAAAUUAUCUGUCUAUAUGCUGAACAGUCUUUAAUGACUGCAUGUGUGCCGUAGCUGUUGAGAUGUUUUAAUCCACUUUAGCAAAAGGUUUAUUUGUUUAAGAAAAGUGCAGUGUUGUAUUAAGUCUAAGCUUAGAACAAUGAAGCAUCAUCUCCCAGCUACUGGGAGUGAGAAUGGGAGGGGCAGGGAGUGGUUGGUACUAUGAGCUGCUCUAAAGAAAAUUCAUUUCAGCUUCCUCACAUGUUAAUACAAUCAUAUUUCAGUGAAGCCCUUCUUCAGCAACAGUCACUAAUGAUAGAGUGAUGUGUUUAGACUUGAAGGUUCUUUAGGUGCUGUUUAAAUGAAUAAUGAGUGUAGUUAAUUCACAAUACAGGUGAAAAGUUAACCACAGAGUAGUGGCACUGCUCUUUCUUUCCCCGUCACCUCUGUGCAUGAUCUCUUGCUGCGCCAUUAGAAGGGAUGAUUAGAAUGGGCAAAUAUUCCCUCCCGGUGCUCCUGGCAAUAGGAAAGCACUGUGGCUCUCUCCACCUAGCCAGUGUGGCCUGAGGCAUUCAUAGCCAUGUUCUGAGUGGUGAAGGCUAAGAGAGCCCAGGAGAGCUGUCCAGGGUUAAAUAAGACAUUAAUAUAUAAAGUAAGGACUGUCGGUAUACGUGAUAUUUAUAUGUUAUCAUAUUACAUUUUAUUUAUUUAUUUAUUCAUUUAUUUAUUUGUAUAUAUAGAGAGAGAAACAGAGUCUCACUCUGUUGCCCAGGCCAGAGGGUAGUGGUGCCAUCAUAGCUCACUGUAGUGUCGAACUCCUGGGCUCCAGUGAUCCUCCCGCCUCAGCCUGCUGAGUAGCUAGGACUACAGACUUGUGCGACCACACUUAUUUUUUGUUUUUAAUUUAUUUUUUGUAAAGACAGGGUCUCAUUCCAUUGCCCAGGCUGCAUUUUUAAGUUUAGUAACUGCCCAAAUGGACAUUGGGUAAAAUAAAAAUAAAUACAGUCACUUCUCUUCUUAAAUCAUUCACCUCUCAAGAUGAAGAAAGAUUGUCACCAAUUUUCAAAGAAUUUGAGUAUAAUUAAAUACACUUCAUAAUAAACUAGGCUGAACAUAAUUUAAUCUUUCCCUGAAGAAAACUGUAAUACUGCAUAUGCAUUUUCAAACUAUGCAUAUUUCUUCUUCAUUCCAUGUGGAAGUUUUUAUUCAGCCUUUCAGUAAAUUUUACUUAGCUUGUCCCAUGGAUGCCGCUACCCAAUCAGAGCAAAAACAGUAUUUUAAAAAACCUCAACUGGAUGAGCCUGAUGCAGUGGUGUGCUCAUGCAGUCCCAGCCAAAGGGUCACUUGAGCAGAGGAGUUCAAGGCCAACUUGGGCAACAUAGUGAGACCCCGUCUCUAAGACAAAUAAUAAACAUCAAAAUUAAAAUUAAAAAAAACCCAACCCAGUGUUCCCUUCAGAAUCCUGAGUGGUUUGUUUCAUCUUCCUCUAUUCUGGCUUGUGUCAUCUUCCUCUCUUGUAAUGGAUAAAAACUCCAAAUGAAGACAAAAAUGAGGAAUUUGUCAAAAAAAUUGAAUUGCCAACAAAAGCCAUCUUUGGUUGAUCAAACGGUACAGACGUUUCAGUUAGACAAGAGGGCUAAGUUUCUGAGACCCAUUGUACAGGAUUAUUAAUAUUAUUCAUUUUUAG